rnacentral:lncRNA from 1 species
CUGGGUUCAUCAAACCGCUUAAUGGACAGGCUAUAUUUUGUUUUGUUUUGUUUUUUGCUCAUAAAGGGCCAGCUUGGUUUUGGCUGCAGUCAGACGUGUGAGAGACAAGAGAGAUGCCCAGAUGCCCUUCCACAGUGCCUCUCCUUGUGCAUGGGAAAUGUACACAAUUUGUCAAGCGGCGUUGUCUUUACCAGUUCAGCUCUUCGAAGAAAAAGGCAACAAUACGGCAGCCUUCAGAAGAAGUUGCAAACAUGUCUGCUGCUGAAUGAAGCCUCCUGCACAUCACUACAAAGAAUGCACCUCCUUCUGCUGUUCUUGCUUUUGUUGAACAUGGCUCAAGGAUGGCAUGUGGCAGGAACAGCCUACUCAUUCCUUCACCAUCUGCAUGGUUUGAGCAUUCAGAUUUCUGUCAUUUGA